UCACUUCCGUUUCUAGAAAGAGGGUGUCAUUGUCUUCCAUUGGAUUAAAAUCAGGAGGCACAUGGAUACUUUUAUUUGCUGGCUUAUUUCGACUAGAAGUUGUUGUAGUAUUUCUAUUUUCGCCAAUAAUAGUACUUUUUUCAGCAUUAAUCCUUAAGCUUUGUCCCUGACCCCUUGCAUCACUGGUCAAAGUGUAUUGAUUCAUUUCAGCUUCUAGAUGGAGGGUAGCAUUGUCUUCCUUUUCCUCAAAACAAGGAUGGACAUGGAAACUAUUAUCUCCUAGAUUAUUCAACUUAGAAGUUGCUGUAUAGUAACUUCUAUUUU
rnacentral:lncRNA from 1 species